AGGGAAUCUUCCACAAUGGACGAAAGUCUGAUGGAGCAACGCCGCGUGAGUGAUGAAGGUUUUCGGAUCGUAAAACUCUGUUGUAAGGGAAGAACCAGUAUGUCAGGCAAUGGACGUACCUUGACGGUACCUUAUUAGAAAGCCACGGCUAACUACGUGCCAGCAGCCGCGGUAAUACGUAGGUGGCAAGCGUUGUCCGGAAUUACUGGGCGUAAAGCGUGCGCAGGCGGUUUUGUAAGACAGUGGUGAAAUCCCCGGGCUCAACCUGGGAACUGCCAUUGUGACUGCAAGGCUGGAGUGCGGCAGAGGGGGAUGGAAUUCCGCGUGUAGCAGUGAAAUGCGUAGAUAUGCGGAGGAACACCGAUGGCGAAGGCAAUCCCCUGGGCCUGCACUGACGCUCAUGCACGAAAGCGUGGGGAGCAAACA
rnacentral:rRNA from 1 species